rnacentral:Y_RNA from 2 species
AUCAGGCUCCAGUGCAGUGGUGUUUACAACUAAUUAAUCACAACCAGUUACAGAUUUAUUUGACCUCUUUCCGCUCUGACUGCUUCAUUUGACUAGAUUUGA